UACGUAGGUGGCAAGCGUUGUCCGGAUUUACUGGGCGUAAAGAGCGCGCAGGCGGUCGUUCAAGUCGCGUGUGAAAGCCCCCGGCUCAACUGGGGAGGGUCACGCGAUACUGAUCGACUCGAAGGCAGGAGAGGGUAGUGGAAUUCCCGGUGUAGUGGUGAAAUGCGCAGAUAUCAGGAGGAACACCGGUGGCGAAGGCGGGUCUCUGGGCAAUAACUGACGCUGAGGAGCGAAAGCGUGGGGAGCGAACAGG
rnacentral:rRNA from 1 species